rfam:Toxocara canis scaffold405, whole genome shotgun sequence.
CGGGCAGUAGCUCAUUGGUCGAGCUUCCGCUUCAUAUGCGGGAAGACCUGGGUUCGAUUUCCGGCUGCUUAU